rnacentral:rRNA from 1 species
GACGAACGCUGGCGGCGUGCUUAACACAUGCAAGUCGAACGGAAAGGCCCUUUCGGGGGUACUCGAGUGGCGAACGGGUGAGUAACACGUGGGUGAUCUGCCCUGCACUUUGGGAUAAGCCUGGGAAACUGGGUCUAAUACCGAAUAGGACCACGCGCUUCAUGGUGUGUGGUGGAAAGCUUUUGCGGUGUGGGAUGGGCCCGCGGCCUAUCAGCUUGUUGGUGGGGUAAUGGCCUACCAAGGCGACGACGGGUAGCCGGCCUGAGAGGGUGUCCGGCCACACUGGGACUGAGAUACGGCCCAGACUCCUACGGGAGGCAGCAGUGGGGAAUAUUGCACAAUGGGCGCAAGCCUGAUGCAGCGACGCCGCGUGGGGGAUGACGGCCUUCGGGUUGUAAACCUCUUUCAGUAUCGGCGAAGCUCCAAGGUUUUCUUUGGGGUGACGGUAGGUACAGAAGAAGCACCGGCCAACUACGUGCCAGCAGCCGCGGUAAUACGUAGGGUGCGAGCGUUGUCCGGAAUUACUGGGCGUAAAGAGCUCGUAGGUGGUUUGUCACGUUGUCCGUGAAAACUCACAGCUUAACUGUGGGCGUGCGGGCGAUACGGGCAGACUGGAGUACUGUAGGGGAGACUGGAAUUCCUGGUGUAGCGGUGGAAUGCGCAGAUAUCAGGAGGAACACCGGUGGCGAAGGCGGGUCUCUGGGCAGUAACUGACGCUGAGGAGCGAAAGCGUGGGGAGCGAACAGGAUUAGAUACCCUGGUAGUCCACGCCGUAAACGGUGGGUACUAGGUGUGGGUUUCCUUCCUUUAGGGAUCCGUGCCGUAGCUAACGCAUUAAGUACCCCGCCUGGGGAGUACGGCCGCAAGGCUAAAACUCAAAGGAAUUGACGGGGGCCCGCACAAGCGGCGGAGCAUGUGGAUUAAUUCGAUGCAACGCGAAGAACCUUACCUGGGUUUGACAUGCACAGGACGCCGGUAGAGAUAUCGGU